rnacentral:tRNA from 4 species
GGCUCUGUAGCUCAGUUGGUAGAGCGCACGACUGAAAAUCGUGAGGUCACGGGAUCGACGCCCGUCGGAGCCACCG